GUCGGAUGGGCCACCUCGUGCAUGGGAUACCGAUGAGCCCCCCGUGGGGAACCUACCCUUUAACGGGGAAUAACGCUCCGGAUAGCGUGGUAAUACCGCAUGAGAUCCGUGGCUGGACAUGUUAUCGGUGAAAGCUGGCGAUCUAAAGACCAGCCUCUGAAGGAGGAUCCUGCCUCAGUAUUAACUUUUGGUGGGGAAACUGCCUACACGCGGCACUAUCUAUCUCCUGCCAGAGAAGGGGAUCUGCCACUCGGGAUCUGAGACACCGUCCAUACUCCUACGGGGGGCCGCAGUGGG
rnacentral:misc_RNA from 1 species